CUCAGUUGACAGGCAGUCUGGUUGGUUACCAUCAUGGGGCAGCACUGACCUGGCAAGUUACAGAAAUACAGUUCUCAACGUGCAGAAGUGGAAUCUUGUUGGGUACUUUUGCAUCUUGUCUCACAUUGACUCAACCAGCAAAGGAAAAGCUUGAGCACGGAGUAAGUACGGCCAGUUGUGAAUUCUGCAGGACAGUGCUGUCCUUAAAGGCCUAUGGGUCCCCCGGGCCCAGCCUCUACCCUCAGCCCGGCCAACACAGCAACAGCAGGUUGCACUUCUAGGUGACCACAUGUGUACCUGAAGUGUCCCGGACACAUUCACCAUGCAUUUUUCAAUCAUACCUUGUGUGGAACAAUUCUUCAUUUAUGUUCAGCUUUGCAAUUGAUGGAUGCUGAUGUGCAUGGAGUCACCGUGAGUGGACUUCAUAGAUGAAGCUUUCUCUGAAGAGUGCAAUCUUGUCUGCCUGCAGAAAGGAAUAUCUGGACACAGUCCAUUCCUCGAUUCGAGUGAGGUGGGGAAGAAAACUAAGAGUACAUUUGUAGCUUCAGGGCCUACUCUAACAUCUGCUAGGCAAAACUUCAUAUAAAUCUAGCUUUGUCCAAGUCUACUUUGUUACCUUUUACAGGUAGAGGAGGUUGCAUAUGUAACACUGCCUGGAUAGGUAAAACUCACU
rnacentral:lncRNA from 1 species